CUCCCAAAACCCUGUGAACAUACCUUACUGUUUCCUCGGCGGAUCAGCCCGCUUCCGGUAAAACGGGACGGCCCGCCAGAGGACCCCUAAACUCUGUUUCUAUAUGUAACUUCUGAGAAAAACCAUAAAUAAAUCAAAACUUUCAACAACGGAUCUCUUGGUUCUGGCAUCGAUGAAGAACGCAGCAAAAAGCGAUAAGUAAUGUGAAUUGCAGAAUUCAGUGAAUCAUCGAAUCUUUGAACGCACAUUGCCCCCGCCAGUAUUCUGGCGGGCAUGCCUGUUCGAGCGUCAUUUCAACCCUCAAGCCCUCGGGUUUGGUGUUGGGGAACGGCGAGCCUUUCUGGCAAGCCGGCCCCGAAAUCUUGUGGCGGUCUCGCUGCAGCCUCCAUUGCGUAGUAGUAAAACCCUCGCAACUGGAACGCGGCGCGGCCAAGCCGUUAAAGCCCCAACUUCUGAAUUUUGACCUCGGAUAGUAGGAAUACCCGUGACUAAGCUA
rnacentral:sRNA from 1 species